rnacentral:rRNA from 1 species
ACUCCUACGGGAGGCAGCAGUGGGGAAUAUUGCACAAUGGGCGCAAGUCUGAUGCAGCCAUGCCGCGUGUGUGAAGAAGGCCUUCGGGUUGUAAAGCACUUUCAGUUGUGAGGAAAGGUUAGUCGCUAAUAUCGGCUAGCUGUGAUCGUUGAGCAACAGAAGAAGCACCGGCUAACUCCGUGCCAGCAGCCGCGGUAAUACGGAGGGUGCGAGCGUUAAUCGGAAUUACUGGGCGUAAAGCGCGUGUAGGUGGCUUUGUUAAGCCAGAUGUGAAAGCCCCGGGGCUCAACCUGGACUGCAUUUUGGAAACUGGCAGGCUAGAGUUUUGUAGAGGGGUGGUAGAAUUUCAGGUGUAGCGGUGAAAUGCGUAGAGAUCUGAAGGAAUACCGGUGGCGAAGGCGACCCACCUGGCCAAUAACUGACACUGAGACGCGAAGGCGUGGGUAGCAAACGGGAUUAGAUACCCUGGUAGCUACGAGU